rnacentral:rRNA from 1 species
CGCCGUAUCGGAGUCGCUAGCCAUGCGAGUCGAUGUAGCAAUACAUGGCGUACUGCUCAGUAACACGUGGAUAACCUGCCCUUGGGUCCGGCAUAACCCCGGGAAACUGGGGAUAAUUCCGGAUAACGCACAUAUGCUGGAAUGCUUUAUGCGUCAAAUGGAUUCGUCUGCCCAAGGAUGGGUCUGCGGCCUAUCAGGUAGUAGUGGGUGUAAUGUACCUACUAGCCGACGACGGGUACGGGUUGUGAGAGCAAGAGCCCGGAGAUGGAUUCUGAGACAUGAAUCCAGGCCCUACGGGGCGCAGCAGGCGCGAAAACUUUACAAUGCGGGAAACCGUGAUAAGGGGACACCGAGUGCCAGCAUCAUAUGCUGGCUGUCCAGGUGUGUAAAAUACACCUGUCAGCAAGGGCCGGGCAAGACCGGUGCCAGCCGCCGCGGUAACACCGGCGGCCCGAGUGGUGAUCGUGAUUAUUGGGUCUAAAGGGUCCGUAGCCGGUUUGGUCAGUCCUCCGGGAAAUCUGACGGCUCAACCGUUAGGCUUUCGGGGGAUACUGCCAGGCUUGGAACCGGGAGAGGUAAGAGGUACUACAGGGGUAGGAGUGAAAUCUUGUAAUCCCUGUGAGACCACCUGUGGCGAAGGCGUCUUACCAGAACGGGUUCGACGGUGAGGGACGAAAGCUGGGGGCACGAACCGGAUUAGAUACCCGGGUAGUCCCAGCCGUAAACGAUGCUCGCUAGGUGUCAGGCAUGGCGCGACCGUGUCUGGUGCCGCAGGGAAGCCGUGAAGCGAGCCACCUGGGAAGUACGGCCGCAAGGCUGAAACUUAAAGGAAUUGGCGGGGGAGCACAACAACGGGUGGAGCCUGCGGUUUAAUUGGAGUCAACGCCGGG